rnacentral:lncRNA from 1 species
GUCUUCUCUGCAGACACCAGCCUGGUGUCCUCCUUCAUCCCAGGCUGCCAGGCUAGGCAGGGGGCAGCGGCUGCCCUGGUCCUCACAGCCCUGGCUGCGGGGCCGGUGACAGCCAGAUCCUCAUGCUUCUGCGACCACAGCGCUGCCUUCAGACACCUCUCUGCUGGCAUAUUCCUGGGUCCAUGAUGGAAGAAGGAAAAGUAUUUUUAAAAGGCAAUCUAAAGCUCAUACUGUGACUGCAACAUAAAAUGUGUUCACCUUAGGAGACUGCUUUCACCGCAAGUGGGUCACCGAUGGUGGAAACCUCAGAAGGCCACAGUCCAUAGUAGGGGCUCAAUGCAAGCUGCUGGAACUGAAUGAAGCUGACAUCUCUGAGCUGGAUGGCACCCUGGACAUCAACCGGCCCUUCACCUUCACAUCACACAGGAGGGACACUGGUCCAUAGACAGGAUGCCUGCUCUGGUCACCAGCUGGAGGGUGGCAGAACUUGGGUACCUGAGCUUUGGACUCUGCCACGCAGAGCACUUCCUCAGUCCCUCCUGCUGCCCCUGGCAGGGUGGAGCUGGCAGGGCAGCUGAUCCAGGACCGUCCACUUCCCAGCCAGCAGGAGGAUGGAAAAGCGGAAUGGAGGGGGAGACAACCUCCUUUGCAGGGCGUGACUGGGAAGUUGGACAUAUCAUUUCCAGCCGCUUUCCAUGGACCAGAAUUAGCCCUGUGACCAACUCUGGCUGCCAGAAAGUCUGGGAAAUACAGUCUCUGCUUGGGCGAUCAGGCAGGCAGUUAUAUCUUUGGGAACAUCUCUCACCCCCUGGGAACACCUGAGCAGAAACUGAAGGACAUUUAACAGAUUCCCCUUUGUGUCUAAUAAGAAUUCCCCCCCCAUCAGUCGGGGCUCUCCUAUGUGCUGGGUACAUAGGUCAUCUUUACACAACCCAGCAAUGGAGAGCACACCAUUCCCAGGCUGCAGAUGCAGAAACUGUGGCUCGGAGAGUUAAGCGUCUUGUUCAGAUUCAGUCAGCUGGUAGAUGGCAGGUCUGGGAUUAAGACCCAGGCCUGGCUGGUCCUGCCAGGACACAGUAUCACAGCUUUGACUGGGGGCUUCUUUUUGUUUACAUAUAUUUUUUAUGCUCAAUGUACAUUCCUUUUGAAAUACACGGAAAAGGGAAAGAAGUCGGAGUCCUGCCUUGUGUAGGAGGGAUAAGUUAGAGGUGUGCACCGGGAUAAAUCUGCCUGCCGCCCUGGCCCUGGCCCUGGCCCUGGCCCUGGCCCUGCUCCUGCUCCUGAUUUUGGUCCUUGGCCUGGGCGGCGAUUCCCGGCCCUGGCUGAGCGUCGCCGGCCACCAGGGGGCGCUGCCGGGCUACCGGUCCGGUCGGCCGGGGAUCACAGCUUCAGGGGACAGGAAAUGAUCAACAGCUUCUCCUCUCGGAUCCAGGUGGACUCAAGCAAUCUCCGGGGGGAAGGACAGGUGCUGAGCCGGGUGCAAAGGUGGAAUUCUAUUCCCAAAGCACAUCCCGCGCCCCUUUCCUCUGCAAAAUCCCGGAACCGCGUGACUCCGGAUGAGUCCGCGGGGCUGGAACCGAGGGUUCAGCCCCUUGCACCUCUGUGUGUCCUGGUCCCUUUCCUCCAAGUAGACAGGAGGCAUCUCCUCAUCGGCUCAGUUCACAUUCCUCCAGGGGCUCAAAGGGGACCCAGUCCCUGUCUUGGGACACCAAGUCAGGGCAGACUCCAGGAGAAAGGAAGGAAGAUGAUUCCCGUGCUCAGGCGGGCGGGUCCUGCUCCCUCUGUUGAAGACCUGGAGACAAAGAUUGACCCUCACCCUUCACCUCCCACCUCUUCCUCACCUUGGAAAAUAAAAACAUUCCUGAGAGGGGGGAUUUGUCAGCAGAUGGCUUUGGGACUGGAACUGCAGCAUCAGCUCUUCCUGGGUCCCCAGUGCCCAGGCCUACCCUGCAGAUGUGGGCUCGCUGGCCUCCACAAUCAGUGAGCUGGUUCCUUAAAAUCAACCUCUCUCUCUCCCUCUGUCUCUCCCUCUCUCUCUCUCCCUGUCCACAUCCCACUGGUUCUGUUUCUCUGGGGAAACCUGACUAAUACGGGGACUCUCAAGGCCCUGGCUGAGAAUGGCAGGCCUGAAGAUUCUCUGAGGCAUUCAGCAUUGAAUGAGCACCAGCUGGGUGUGGAGCUGUGUCAGGCGCUGGGCACAGGACUCAGCCCCGGAACCGAGUAUGGGCCCACAUGGUGUAGGCCUUUGUCUGUCCCUGUCAUGGCUUUGGACACACGCGUGGCCCAGAGGGGAAAAUGGAUCUGGGUGGCGAAGUGGGAAAGCUCACCCCAGUAUUCGUCUUGGUGACAGCAGUCCCUUAAGGGGUCUCCUGAGUCGUGGGACCCACAGGUGUGGACCUCCUGCCCCCUUCCCUCUCCCCCAGUGACUUUAUCCAGCGCCUGCCCUGCCCAGCCUUGCACAGGCUACCCUGUGACCCACUCACAGGGAGAUAGGGGAGCUUCUUUCUGCCCUCAGGAGCCUUGUUCUCAAGGCAGCUCAUCCAAGAGAAUAACAUACAGUAGACUGCCACACACAUGCCUGUGGCUUAGUCCAGGAAAGCCACUUAUAAAAUCCAGAGGUGAAGGAAGAAAAGAUGGAAAUCUAUGUAACAAAUCCAUUUCCCUCCUUCCUCCCUCCCUUCAUCUCCAAAGUAGACCUGCCCCAGGGCCAGAGGUCCUCUCCCUGCAAGGCUAGGUAACAAGUGGAUUUUUGCUUUUGAGCUUCAAGAUCCUGGCUUCUGGUGGUUUAUAGGUGAUCUCUGAGGGUGAUUUUUGACAAGAGGCUUGUUAGCUUCUCUACGCUUUUGAAACGCCCACUCUCCCCACAAGAAUCUGGGACUUUGCAGAACCGGUCCAAGGUGAGUGUAGGAUUAAUUGCCAAAUGAGUUUUCUCAUAAGCCUGGGGUCCAAAGUACAUUGGACAGCCAGCAAAUGCUUAUGAGGGGUUUGAAAAAGUGAAAUCAAGGCUCAAGGUCAUAGGACUCAAUGGAGAGUGAGGCAGCUGGGGUCUGGGAUGACCGGCAUGGGCCUCAAAGCAGGGGGCUUGGAAAUAGCCCCUGAAGAGGGGGUCGCUUGCAUGGCUAGGAAGGGGUUGGGGCCCACUAGCAUUUCUCAGAAUGCCUAUUUUCUUCGGCAGUGAGAGCUGGCGGGAGGGAUGGGUUUCUCAGCACAGUUCCAGUAUGAGUGGCUGUCACCACAGGGCGCCAUUGCCAAGUCAUAAAGAAACAAAGCUUAACCGCUGCCUCCUGUCCCCCAUGGUCUGUGAAAGUCUCAUACUGUAGUGCGUCUAAUGGUGGCCCCCCAAAAGAUACAUCUACAUUGUAAUUCCUGGGACCCAGAAGUGUGACCUUAUUUGGAAAAAGGGUCUUUGCAAAUGUAAGUUAACUUAUUUGGAAAAAGUGUCUUUACAAAUGUAAUUUACAACAUUGAAUGAGCA